UCGAGCAGGAUGGAGUGGCCUGGCCAAGCCGUGGCCCCGCUGGCAGGAGCUGCAGAGUGGACAGCAGAGGGAACACAGCUUGGUGGUGAAGGUGCUGUUCUCCUGAAAGAGGAUCCUGGCAAAAACAUGGCUUGGUGCAGGGGAUGGCACGCUGAAGGCAAGACAGCAGCAGACACUUGAAUGGAGACUUCUCGUGUUUGCAGCCUGGUCACACGAGUGACUGAGACACAAAAUCUCCCUGACGUCCUCUCUGGAUGCUUGGCCUUGGAACAGCCUCAUUUGUGCCAGACCUGCUCCCUUCCAUUCGUGGAGCCUUCUAUGCUGCACUGGACACUGGAAAAGCACUUGGAGAUGGCUGGAGAAGGAAGGAGACAUCCUAGAAAAUGGUCUCUAAACCAGGCCUUUCCCUGUGCCAUGGCUCAUUAAUAUCAGUGGUUCCUGCUGGAGGAACUCUGUCACCUUCCCUGAGGCAGCAGAGCUGAGGCCAGACGUGGUGUGCGCUGCUUGUGCAUCAGACAUGAGUAAUAACAAGUUCGGAGGAACUGUACCACUUAAUAAAAGCAUUUUAUUACAUUUAAAUGUAUUAAAAUGUGACCAUUAAAUUCAACAUGCUAAUUACCGCUCCCAGGCAUUGCCGCUGACAGGAAAUGGAUCCUCACAAUUGCUCUGCUGAGAUCACUCACUGCUGUUACUGCUCUUUGGUUCCUGGUGUGUUAUUAGUGCUCUGCAUUUGGGACUUGAGUCAUUAACAAAAAGGACUCAUGUUGGGCAUUAUGUAAAUUCUGUAUGUUUUCACACAGCUACCGGGGCCUGUGUUAUGUGUCUCAUUGACAAAAAGAAAAGCAAAUGGAUUUGGCUCUGCCCUGGCUUGUGGGCGAGUGAUCUCAGGGGUCACCCAGGCACAGAGAGGGAAAACCUCUUCCUAACACAUCUCUGUGUUUCUGCAAAUCCCUUUCCAGGGAAAUUUGUACCCCCCCACACCACUUGCU